rnacentral:rRNA from 1 species
GACGAAGGUGGCAAGGGUUAUUCGGAUUUACUGGGCAUAAAGCGCGCGUAGGCGGCUUGGCAAGUCGGGGGUGAAAGCCCGCAGCUCAACUGCGGAACUGCCUCCGAUACUGCCGGGCUUGAGGGCGGGAGGGGUGAUUGGAACUCCAGGUGUAGCGGUGAAAUGCGUAGAUAUCUGGAGGAACACCGGAGGCGAAGGCGAAUCACUGGACCGCUUCUGACGCUGAGGCGCGAA